AUUGAACGCUGGCGGCAGGCCUAACACAUGCAAGUCGAGCGGAUGAAGGGAGCUUGCUCCUGGAUUCAGCGGCGGACGGGUGAGUAAUGCCUGGAAUCUGCCUGGUAGUGGGGGAUAACGUCCGGAAACGGGCGCUAAUACCGCAUACGUCCUGAGGGAGGAAGUGGGGGAUCUUCGGACCUCACGCUAUCAGAUGAGCCUAGGUCGGAUUAGCUAGUUGGUGGGGUAAAGGCCUACCAAGGCGACGAUCCGUAACUGGUCUGAGAGGAUGAUCAGUCACACUGGAACUGAGACACGGUCCAGACUCCUACGGGAGGCAGCAGUGGGGAAUAUUGGACAAUGGGCGAAAGCCUGAUCCAGCCAUGCCGCGUGUGUGAAGAAGGUCUUCGGAUUGUAAAGCACUUUAAGUUGGGAGGAAGGGCAGUAAGUUAAUACCUUGCUGUUUUGACGUUACCAACAGAAUAAGCACCGGCUAACUUCGUG
rnacentral:rRNA from 1 species